UCAGGCCUGCCCAAUGAAAAUUGAAUGGCUGCAGUAUUUUGACUGUACAAAGGUAGCAUAAUCAUUAGUUUCUUAAUUAGAAGCUGGUAUGAAUGGUUAAAUGAGAAAAUUACUGUCUUUAGUUGAAUUAUAAAGAAUUUUAUUUUUAAGUUAAAAAGCUUAAAUUUUUUUAAAAGACGAGAAGACCCUAUAGAGUUUAAUAAUUUGGUUAUUUAUUAGUCUUAGGUAUAUCAUAUCUAGUAAAUCAAUAAUUAUUUGAUUGGGGUGAUUAGAAAAUUUAAUAAACUUUUGUUUAAUAUAAACAUUAAUUUAUGAAUAAUUGAUCCAUUGUUUAGUGAUUAUAAGAUUAAAUUACCUUAGGGAUAACAGCGUAAUUUUUUUAGCGAGUUCUUAUCAAUAAAAAAGUUUGCGACCUCGAUGUUGGAUUAAAAUUAACUUUUGGUGCAGUAGCUAUAAAGUUAGGUCUGUUCGACCUUUAAAAUUUUACAUGAUCUGAGUUUAAACCGGUGUGAGCCAGGUUGGAUUCUAUCUUUAAAAAGCUUAAAUGAUCUAGUACGAAAGGACCUAUCAUUUGUAAAAUUUAUUAAUUUAUUGAGUAAAA
rnacentral:rRNA from 1 species